AGCGUACCAAGACUGAAGACCAAGCUGGGCACUGGAUAGAACAGCAAGGUGCCAGUCUUGGUGCUUACAUAAAAGUGCCUGAUAAGCUCUGCAAAAUUCAGACCCAAGUGAAGACUACGGAAAACAAAAGAAAUGGAAAACAUGCUCAAAAAAACAAGAAAUAAAGUUAUACUUUUCAUAAGGCACCACCAAAAACCCUGGUAAAUUAGAGUC